UCCUGCCAGAGGCGACCGCUUUUGGAGUUCGAUUAAGCCAUGCGAGUCGAGAGCCUUAGGGGCUCGGCAUACUGCUCAGUAACACGUGGAUAACCUGCCCUAUUGUCUGGAAUAACCUCGGGAAACUGAGAACAAGGCCGGAUAGCCCACAAUGCCUGGAACGGUUUGUGGGUGAAGAUAGGAUGGGUCUGCGGCGUAUCAGGUCGUAGGGGGUGUAAUGGACCUCCUAGCCAUCGACGCGUACGGGUGUUGGGAGACAUAGCCCGGAGAUGGAUUCUGAGACACGAAUCCAGACCCUACGGGGUGCAGCAGGCGCGAAAACUUCACACUGCAGGAAACUGUGAUGAGGGAACUCCAAGUGCAUUCACUAUGUGGAUGCUUUUUUUGACUAUUAAUCGGUCAACGAAUAAGGGCUGGGAAAGACCGGUGCCAGCCGCCGCGGUAAUACCGGCAGCUCAAGUGGUCGUCGCUUUUAUUGGGCCUAAAACGUCCGUAGCCUGUUUGGUAAAUCUGUGGGUAAAUCAACCAGCUUAACUGGUUGAAUUCUGCAGAGACUGCCAGACUAGGGACCGGGAGAGGUGUGGGGUACUCUAGGGGUAGGGGUAAAAUCCUGUCAUCCUUAGAGGACCACCAGUUGCGAAGGCGCCACACUGGAACGGAUCCGACGGUCAGGGACGAAGCCUAGGGGCACGAACCGGAUUAGAUACCCGGGUAGUCCUAGGUGUAAACGCUGUGAACU
rnacentral:rRNA from 1 species